rnacentral:rRNA from 1 species
AUUGAACGCUGGCGGAAUGCUUUACACAUGCAAGUCGGGCGGCAGCGCGGGGGCAACCCUGGCGGCGAGCGGCGAACGGGUGAGUAACACAUCGGAACGUACCCUGUCGUGGGGGAUAACGAAUCGAAAGAUUCGCUAAUACCGCAUACGACCUGAGGGUGAAAGCGGGGGAUCGCAAGACCUCGCGCGAGAGGAGCGGCCGAUGGCGGAUUAGCUAGUUGGUGGGGUAAAGGCCCACCAAGGCGACGAUCCGUAGCGGGUCUGAGAGGACGGCCCGCCACACUGGGACUGAGACACGGCCCAGACUCCUACGGGAGGCAGCAGUGGGGAAUAUUGCGCAAUGGGCGAAAGCCUGACGCAGCGACGCCGCGUGGGUGAUGAAGGCC